rnacentral:lncRNA from 1 species
CGCGCAGUCGCAUUCCUGCUUCCUCGCGACCUUGGCGGAUCGCGCCUGCGCAGUGGGGAGCAGCUCGCGCCUAGGCUUUGGGCUGGCUGCAGUCUCAGAGAGAAGGCGGCCGAAGUGGCUGUCUCAUUUAAGAUGAGGCUUUUGCUGCUGCUUCUGAUGGCGGCGUCGGCAGUGGUCAGGAGCGAGGCGUCGGGCAAUCUGGGCGGCGUGCCUAGCAAGAGACUGAAGAUGCAGUACGCCACGGGGCCGCUGCUCAAGUUCCAGAUUUGUGUUUCCUGAGGUUAUAGGCGGGUGUUUGAGGAGUACAUGAGGGUUAUUAGCCAGCGGUACCCAGACAUCCGAAUUGAAGGAGAGAAUUACCUCCCACAACCAAUUUAUAGAUGUACCUGUGUGGUCUAAGCUGGAAUCUGGUCAUCUUCCUUCCAUGCAACAACUUGUUCAAAUUCUUGACAAUGAAAUGAAGCUCAAUGUGCAUAUGGAUUCAAUCCCACAUCAUCGAUCAUAGCCCCACCUAUCAGCACUGAAAACUUUUACAUUAAGGAAUUUUUGCAAGAGCAGCGCGACUGACAUUAUGAAGGCCUGUACUGAAGACAGCAAGCUGUUAGUACAGACCAGAUUCUUUUUUGGCAGGCUCGUUGUACCUCUUGGAAAACCUCAAUGCAAGAUAGUUUUUCAGUGCUGGCACAUUUUGGAAUUCUGCACAUUCAUGGAGUGCAAUAAUACUGUAUACUCUCCUAUCCCCAUUCAUCUAGUUAAUGUUUCUUUUUAAAAUGUAGGUAUUAUUACUACUUAUAACUUUUCCUCAGUCAUAUUUAAAAAAGGAGAAAUUGAAUUACAGUUUGUUUUUUUUCUCAAGAUGUCUGUUAAGUCUGUUUUGCUUUUUUAAAUUAAUUCUUGUUUUUUUACAGUUUAAAGUCAAUGUUUUGGGGAAUACAGCUCAAGUUCCCAAAUACUUUAUAAAGUUUAUCAGACAUUUCUUAAUUUGGCCAUGUUCAAUUAUAGUUUUCAAAAUAUUGCUGGUUAUGAACAAUGCAUUAUAAGAUUAUGGGGAGAGGGUCCAAUAUCUAGAGUACUCAACCAAUUUGUGUGUAUGUGUGUAUGCGUGUGUGAUACCAGAGAACUACUACAAAACCAACUGCUUUUUAAAUCCUAUUGUGUAGUCAAGUGUCUUGCCUUGACCAGUCUACUGAGUUGAAUUAACUGGGCCUUUACCUUUAUACUUAACUAAAUAAAAAACUAAGCAGAUGUCAGUUAAAUGAGAAAGUUUCAGUUUAUUGUUCAGUGUACCUGUUAACAUCAUAUUUAAUGAUUGCCUAAUUUUUUUUUAAAUUUACAGAUAAUAUCCACAAGGAACAAACUUUAGAUUCAUACACAAAUAAUAAGUUCAUUUACCAUUUUUAGGAUAAAUGAAACUCACCUCACUAAAUAUAAGUUCACUUGAACCUCUUUACAAUAUUAAUAUUGCCAGGUGUGGUGGUGUACACCUGUAAUCCCAGCACCAGGGAGGCUGAGGCAGGAAGAUUGCUGUAAGUUCAAAGCCAGCUUGGGCUAGCAUAGUUCAAGGAUAGCAUGAACUAUAUAGUGAGACCCUCUCAAAACAAUACAAAACAGAAAAGCCCCCAAAACAUUGUUAUUAGGUGAACAGAGAUCUCUUGUUCAGUAACCUAAUUUGUCUAGAACAUAUAUCAAAUUGAUUGAUUGAUUGAUUUUUUAGGCAGGGUCUCACUGGUGUAGUCCAGGCUGGCCCUGAACUCAAUAUGUAUCCCAGGCUGAUCUCAAACUUGGGAUUGUCCUGCUUCAGCCUUCUGAGUGCUGGGAUUACAGGCAUCCGCCACCAUGCCCAGCAAGAAUUUUAUUGUAUUUAAAAAACAAAAUUGAAAAAAUUUUAAAUUCAAUUUUAUGCAUUGUUCCAGAGUUCUAAAAGGAGUUUUCUAAAAGCUUAAAUUGAUAAAAACUAUAAGAAUUAUUUAACAGAAAUAGGACCAUAAUGUACAAAAAAAGUUACAUAUCAGCAGCAAUGACAUACUUCAGCUUCCAUAAAAUAAAGUAGUAGAGGCAAAAGUUGCCCUAGAUUUGUUGGUGGAAAUUAAGAGAUUUAAGGAAAAGCUGUGAGGUAGUAAAAUAUUGGUUUCACCUAAUUCUUUAGUAUUAUAUGAUAUCUAACUUUAAACUUGGUCACUGAAUAUUUACUGAAUGUAUAUGAGAUAAUGACCCAGAUUGUGUCAGCCUCAAGGUGGAACAUACUGGGAAUUCUAGAUUAUGGGAAUUUAGUCUAAUGAUUCACUGCAGAAAAUUGAUUAAAUGAUUGUCCUUUU